GGGGCUGUAGCUCGGCGGUAGAGCGCUUGCCUAGCAUGUAAGAGGCACUGGGUUCGAUCCUCAGCACCA
rnacentral:tRNA from 1 species